rnacentral:rRNA from 1 species
GACGAACGCUGGCGGCGUGCUUAACACAUGCAAGUCGAGCGGUAAGGCCCUUUCGGGGGUACGACGAGCGGCGAACGGGUGAGUAACACGUGGGUGACCUGCCCUCAGCUCUGGGAGUAAGCCUGGGAAACGUGGGCCUAAUACUGGAUAUGACUCCACGGUGCAUGUCGUGGGGUGGAAAGCCUUGUGCGGCUGAGGAUGGGCCCGCGGCCUAUCAGCUUGUUGGUGGGGUGANGGCCUACCAAGGCGACGACGGGUAGCCGGCCUGAGAGGCGACCGGCCACACUGGGACUGAGACACGGCCCAGACUCCUACGGGAGGCAGCAGUGGGGAAUCUUGCGCAAUGGGCGAAAGCCUGACGCAGCGACGCCGCGUGAGGGAUGACGGCCUCG